rnacentral:lncRNA from 1 species
AAAACUUAUGUUUCUGGUGUGAUUUUCAAUUCUAACAUAAGCACCUAUUUAUAAGAAAAUGCUAGAACGCCAAAGGAGACUAAAUAAUAAAUUAUUAUUAUUAUUUCUAUUCAAAUUUCCUACGUCACCUCUCUUGAUCAAUUUAGGCAGCCUUAUUUGAACCAAAAUCAGCAGCCCAUGUGUAUUUAACACAAGUGGGUCCCACCCAUAAUUUAAUAAAAAUCAUUUUAUUUUUCAAAACUUUAACAAUUCAUAGAAAAUAGUUCGGUUAUCAGAAAAAUACGAAUUUUAUGUCCAUUCUGCCUGAAAUUGAAUUCUCUACAAUUUUGUAGCUUUGAGUUUUUCCAAAUUCCAGACCGAAAAUAUCCGAAAUCCACAAACGGAUGAUUUUAAACAGUGUUUCAACACCUUUUAAAAUUCAUAACAAAUCAUGCGUUAAUUUUUAAUGGUUCAAAAUUUGUGGACAUAUACUCAACAUAUAUAUGUAUAACAUAUCCAAAAAUCACAACGAUCCAACGGUCAGAUCAAAAUUAUAACUCACGCAAUAGAGCUUUAAGAACACCGAUUUGAUCUAUUAAUACCUCCAAUCCGACAAAAUACUUAUAAAACAACUCAACAUUAUUUCCUUCAUUUAUAACCACAUAAAUAAAUCCAUCAUUUAUAUCCGCAUCAAAUAAAUAUUUCCUUAUCAUAUAAAUCAAUAAAUAAUUAUUCACAAAUAAUAUUACAGAAUCACAGUUAUGACAACCAGGUGGUUCCCAGGAAAGAGGGUGCUUUCCAAUAAGGAUUUCUCCUUACUGGCGCGCAAUUAGAUGACCAAACCUCUCAUUGACAGAACUUUCUAGACAUUGCCAAUAAUGCUAUCUAAUAAUAUUAUUCAAAUAAUAUGAAUUAUUGAUUUGAUAAUGGGAAAUACUGUGCAGUGACAAUUAUUGAAACAAUAAUAAUAUAAACUAUCAACGCAACAAUUAUUGAAUCAAUACAAUAAAAUAUUAAACAGUAAUUACUGUAACAAUUAUUGAGUAGUGCCUUCUUACGUAAGAAUCAAUAAUUCAAAAAUAUUGUGUAAUACCGUGUGCUACUGUGCAACAACGCGUAUUACUGUAUUUUAACCACCAGGUAUUUCAACAGUGUUAACGGUAAAAACUCAAACUUGUCGUUUUCUUCAUCCGACAGUUAUUCUGUUAUAGGGCCCACAAAUGACUACGCCGUCGUACGAAUAUUCCCGACAAAAAGAAUAUUCCACGACCAAACGAAUAUUCUCCGACAACAAUGAAUAUUUUAUAGCCACUUGCGUAUUUUGUAAAAUUUGCAUAUUUCACCCAUAACUUUAAACUUUUAUCAAUUUAACUAUUUACUGAAUAAUAAUUAUAAGAAAAUUUGAAUAAUUUUAUUUCAUAAAAUUCGGGGUCUUACAUGUUUGGCUCAUGGAUCAUGGUGGAUCCUAUGUUAUAAGGGAGGAUAUGAAGGAUUAUAUAUGCUUGCUAUAUGUUUUAUGUAUGAAAAAUCAUGAAAAUACGAAAGCUUUCUAAGAAAACCUAGCUAAACGUCGAAAAAUUGAAAAUUUUCAAAAACGGAGACUGAAAUUUGAACAAGUAUAACUCCUAGAAUAUUUUGAAUUUUUGAGUGUGGUCAAGUUCUGAAAUUAGAUAUGGAAGUACCCUAACACCUCCAAUUGGACUUUCCGGAUUAUCCAUUGUAGAUUUUUGUGGGGACAGAUUCUACCAAAACAGUCUAGAACUAAAAAAUUGGAAAACCCUACUGUCCAGUCCCUUAUGUGCCUUUUUGGGGCCACUUAAACAUUAAAAUAAAUUCAGGACUUUUGGGACAUGAAAACAUAUGAUAUAACGUAGCUCAUGUCCAAAGAUGAGCUUAUUCCGACUUAAAUCGAAGGAGUUAUGGCCAUUUUAAUUUUAGGGUUUUAACGAUGGAAAUGACUAUAACUUGAGUUUUAUAGCUCUGAUGGCCACAAAAUUUAAAGUGGAAGUUCAAUUUAAUAUUUUUAAGAUUCUGACAAGAUUUGGUAAUUUUUAGAGUUGAGCACGAUAUUGCUAAUUUUGCUAAGUUAUGAACUAAAAUGGGCUUUUGAAAAAUACUUAAUUAAAAGUAAAAAUUCUAGAAAAAAUAUUUUUGUGUAUGGAAUAUAUGUAUAUAUGUGUGGCCAAAAAAGAAAAAAAUAAUUAUAAAAUGGUUAAGCAAUCUUAAUGGGGGAUAUAGGCUUCUAACGAAUUAAAAACUAUUAAUUACCGGGAAGUCGGGAAUUACCGAAAUAAUUUCUAUAGACUGGAAUGUGUUAAGAUGUGACGUAUGAGUCUAUGUUGAUGUUAAUCACAUAUUAUUAUGGAAAUAUUAUAUGUAUGAUGAGAAAGAAUGUUGUGUUUGGAUUAAGUCGAAAGGGUGGUUACCAAGUUAGGUUAGAAUAAUCAUCGUCGGUAAACCUUAAAAGGUGACGAUUACCUUUAAUUAUUAAGCAAAUUCUUAUGAAUGUUGUAGGUAAAAAUUUGUAAAGGAAUAUUCGCAUAAUCAAGGAAGAGAUAUUAAGUCAGAAUUUUUUUUUAGUUUCAUUGUGUUAUGUGAUCUUGAUAUUAUAUGAGAUUUUCACAAGUAUGCUAAAUUAUACUGCUAAAUUAUACUUUAUGCUUGUUGAAUUAUGAAAGUCAACUUAUGACUGAAAUUGAUUGAGUUUUAGAACUCAGUCUUAAUGUGACAUGUGAUAUGCUAAAUAUAUGAAUUAUAUUGUUUAGUAUUAUGAUAAUCAUGAGAUAUGAACUGAGCAUGAAAUUAUGUGAUAUGUGAAGCAUGAAAGCUGUUAAAUUUGUUAGCUGUCGAGCUCAAUCUUGCAAAAAUAAACUUUGUGCAUGUUAACGAUACAAUGUAAUAUUACUUGUUAUGAUACGGAUGAUGAAGAUUGGAAGACAUGUAAAGGAAUACAAUUUCUUGAAAUAUUCAAUGAAUAAGGAAUAUUUGUUAUGAAAUAAGAAUGUAUGGCGGUGAUUACUUUGAAAUGUAAAAUCAUAUAAUGACUACUCUAAUAAAAUGAUUUUAAGGUAUAAAAUCGUAAAGGUUGCGAUUCAUGGAACGAAUGAAAGACGGAAAGAAAAGUUUAAAAUAAUCCGCAUUUUUAUUAGCUUUGUCAUUAAUUAAUGAUGUAAAGCUAGUACAAUAUAGUUUCUAAAGCACAAGGUCGGGGUUAAGUUAGUCCUGAUUUUGGAUUAAGUUGGUCCCAAUUUUUGGGGGGGCGUUACAAUACUAUUACUGAAUGAGUCCAAUACUUGUUGAGAAUAGCUAAGUUGCCUAAGUCAUUCUAGAGUGAAGCUGUAUGUACUGCUUGUUACUUGAUUAAUAGAUCUCCAUCAGCACCAUUGAAUUUUCAGAUUCUAAAGAAGAUUUGGAGUGGUAAUUAUGUGUAAUAUUCUUACUUGAGGGUAUUUUGGUGCAAUGCUUUUGUACAUAUCCCUAAGGAACAAAGAUCGAAGCUUGAUGACAAAUCUACUCCAUGUGUAUUUGUUGGUUAUGGAGAUGUAGAGUUUGGGUACAGGUUAUGGGAUCAAGUUUAAAGAAAAUUAUUCAGAAGCAAAGAUAUGGUGUUUCAUGAGCACCAGAAUUAUAAGGAUUUUGUUAAUGUUACAUAGCUUAGAGAUAAUAGAGUUCCAGACCUCAACAGAGUUCUUUCUCUAUUACAAAAUGUCAUAGUUGGAGAAAAAGGUCAGAAUGAAGAUGUGACUAAUACAGAUUUGCACAAUGGUGAUUGGUCAGAUGUAGAAAGUGUUUAGUAGGGGGAGCAGCCUCUUCAUCUUGAUAUUCAAAAACCUUAGCUAUGGAGAUCCAUGAGAGAACGUGUGUCAUCAGUUAGGUAUUCUUCAUCUAAAUAUCUUUUAGUUGCUGAGGAGGGGGAGCUAGAGAAUUUUCAAGAAGUCAAGACUCAUAAAGGGAAGGGCAAUUGGCUGAAAGUUAUGCGGGAUGAGAUGGGUUCUUUGCAAAAGAAUCACACUUAUAAAUUUACUACACUUCUAAAGGGCAGGAAUAGUUGUUCAAGAUGAAAAAAGAUGGUAAAAACCUAGUGAAGUACAUGGCUCGGUUGGUCGUUAAGGGUUUUGUUCAAAAGUAAGGUAUUUAUUUUAAUGAGAUUUUUUCUCCAAUUAUGAAAAUGACUUUUAUUUGAGCGGUGUAGGGGUUAGUAGCUAGUAUGGAUCUUGAGCUAGAGCAGCUAGAUGUGAAAAUUGCAUUCCUUCAUGGUGAUUUAAAGGAGAAAAUUUACAUGAGCAACCAGAAGGAUUUGAAGUUAAAGGGAAAGAGCACUUGGUUUAGAAGUUGAAGAAAAUUUUGUACGACUUGAAACAAGCCCCAAGGCAGUGGUACAUAAAAUAUUAUGAGUCAUUGAUGAUUAAUAUCAAGGUUACAAUAGAACAAUUGCAGAUCAUUGUGUGUAUGUUACAAUUUCUUAAAUGGUAACUUCGUUAUUAUGUUGCUAUAUGUAGAUGAUAUGUUGAUAGUUGGGCAAGAUGCUUACAUGAUUCACAGGCUCAAGAGUGAGUUGUUCAAGUCCUUUGAUAAGAAGGACUUAGGCCCGACUGACUAAAUAGAUUUUGGGCAUGAAGAUUGUUCGUGAUAGGAAAGUCAAGUGGUUGUGGUUGUCACAAGAGAAAUAUAUGAAUGGGUGUUUGCAAGGUUCAACAUGUGUGAUGCUAAGACAUUUAGCACACUACUGGUCAAUCAUAUGAAGUUGACGAAGCGCACGUGAUUUUGUACUAAGGGAGAGAUGAUAUGGCAGCAGUUCCCUACUCCUCUACUAUACGGAGUCUUAUGUAUAUAUAUGAUGGUUUGUACACGACCAUAUAUUACUCAUGCAGGUGGUGUUGUGAGCAGGUAUUUGUCAAAUCCUGGUAGAGAAUAUUGAAAACAGUUAAGUGGCAUAGAUUCUCAGAUACUUGCAAAGUAAUUCGAGUUUGCGUUUGGGUUUUGGUGGGUCCGAGUCUAGUCUUGGUGGGUAAUUUUACAAAUGCAGACAUGACAGGUUCUAAAGAGAAGAAGUUAAUUUUGGGGAAUGUGUUUACUUUUGCAGGGGGAGUUGUAUCAUAGCAGUCCAAGUUGCAGAAGUGCUUUGCUUUGUCUACAACCGAGUCAGAAUAUAUCGCCACUAUGAAAUCAAAAAAGGAGAUGUUAUGGUUGAAACGGUUUUUCCAACAGUUAGAUUUGACAUAUAACGAGCGAGUAUGUAGUUUUUACAUCUUAGUUUUAGAGAGUUUUUUCACUUAAGAUUCGAUAUCUUGUGUUUAGUUUAUUUUUUGUAGUAUUAUUUUCUGCGAUUGUUAUUUAUUUGUUGAAAUUACAUUUUGUUUGGCGUGUUUUGUUAUUUAAAUUAUCAGAAACGAUUUUAGUGGGAGGAGUUUUCCUAACAAUUAAAAUACCUGGAGAUUUUUUUGAAACAAAAUAUUGAAAAAAAGAAACUCUUUUUAUGAGGGAGUAAAAAUUAUAAAUGAAAUUCAUAUCUUUUUUCUGAUUGUGAGUCAAAUGCAGAUGGAAUUACCGAGUAAAAGCAGUACCGGUAAGCGCCUUCUGCCCAUAUUUUCUCCACUUAUAGCCGUCCUCCGGUGGAGCAUCGCCGACUUCCCUAAUUGGCGCAUGUAAUCUUACCCUCCAUUCCUCCGCCGCCAUCUUCCUUCUUACACAACAAAUUAUUGGAUCAUUAGGGUUUUAUUAAUGUGUGUGUAUAUAUAUAUAUAUAUAUAUGUAGUAGUGAGGGAGGAGGCUGAGGAGCAAAAUUUUAAAAGGAUUGAAAAUUUAAGAUAUAUAUAGGAAAAUAUACAACUAUUUAAUUUAAUGUUUACCGUCCACGUGGAGUAAAAAUUAUAUAUGAAAUUCAUAUCUUUUUUCUGAUUGUGAAUCAAAUGCAGAUGGAAUUAUCGAGUAAAAGCAGUGCCGGUAAGCGCCUUCUGCCCAUAUUUUCUCCACUUAUAGCCGUCCUCCGGUGGAGCAUCGCCGACUUCCAUAAUUGGCGCUUGUAAUCUUACCCUCCAUUCCUCCGCCGCCAUCUUCCUUCUUACACAACAAAUUAUUGGAUCAUUAGGGUUUUAUUAAUGUGUGUGUAUAUAUAUAUAUAUAUAUAUGUAGUAGUGAGGGAGGAGGCUGAGGAGCAAAAUUUUAAAAGGAUUGAAAAUUUAAGAUAUAUAUAGGAAAAUAUACAACUAUUUAAUUUAAUGUUUACCGUCCACGUGGAGUAAAAAUUAUAUAUGAAAUUCAUAUCUUUUUUCUGAUUGUGAAUCAAAUGCAGAUGGAAUUAUCGAGUAAAAGCAGUGCCGGUAAGCGCCUUCUGCCCAUAUUUUCUCCACUUAUAGCCGUCCUCCGGUGGAGCAUCGCCGACUUCCAUAAUUGGCGCUUGUAAUCUUACCCUCCAUUCCUCCGCCGCCAUCUUCCUUCUUACACAACAAAUUAUUGGAUCAUUAGGGUUUUAUUAAUAUAUAUAUAUAUAUAUAUAUAUAUAUAUAUAGUAGUGCGGGAGGAGGCUGAGGAGCAAAAUUUUAAAAGGAUUGAAAAUUUAAGAUAUAUAUAGGAAAAUAUACAACUCUUUAAUGUUUACCGUCCACGUGGAUUUUUAAAGUGAAUGUAGGGUAUAGAUUGUCUAAUAAGAGAUAGUUUUGAGGCGGGAAGACUAACCCUAAAUUUUUGGACAAUCAAAAAUUGGAUCAUUUUGUAUUGUUUUGCAAAUGGCAUAAUGCUGAAGUAUGAGUUUCAACAUCAUUUUUAGAUAAUGAGUUAUAGUUUUAAAAUUUGUUAUCAAAAUCUUAAUUAUAUACUAUAUAUAUACAAAUUUAAAUUUUGCAAGAAAAGUCAAAGAGAAAUAUAUUAUUCGAAUCAAUUUUUUGAUAAGAGGGAGAUUAAUGACUUAAUUAUCCAUAAUUAAUUGUCGUUCCAAAAAAAUUAGUAUUUUUUGUAUUUUGGAGAUUAUGAAACUCGAUAAUGUAAACUUAAACAUAGUUAAAUGAAGAAAAGGAAAAACACAAUCAAAUGACAUCAUUUCAAAUUCACAUAUAUAGAAUAAUAAUAUUUCAAAACUAAAUUGCCCUUCAAUCUAUCUAAAGUUGACCAUAAUUUAAUAAUAGUUAUUAAAAGCAUUUAUUAUAAAGUUUAAAUUAUAUAUUCCUUAAAAAGGAAAGAUAUUUUGUAAAUAUUUUCUUCUAUUAUUGUGUCCGUUUUUUAGUUAUGUUAUCACAUUUAGUCAAUACAAUUAUACAUAUUUUAAAUUAUUUAAAAAGUAUUAACUACUAUUAAUAAAAUUAUUUAUUAUAUUUGAAUUUAAGUAAAUCAUAUCAAUUUUGAAUUUAAGAAUAUUUUAAAAUGACUUUUUAAAAUCAAAUUAAUCUUAUAUUUGGACGGAAAAAAAAUAGUAUUUCUCCUUAUAUAGGAGUAUUUUGGUACUCCUUAUAUAGGAGUAUUUUUGGGAUCCCGAAACGGCAUAUGAUGUGCUCCUUGAUAAAAUUUGUCACUGCUGGUCCCGUAGCCUUCUUCAAGGGUAUUACUUCCACCCAUUUUGUGUACAUCUCGGUGACAGUUAAAAUCCAGAUGUUAUCCUUGGAAUUAAGGUGAACAGGACCUAUAAGAUCCAUUCCCCAUGUAUGAAAGGGCCAUGGUGUUGCUAAGGUUCGCAAAUCCACGGCGGGAGCAUGAAUUAAGUUUCCAUGUAUUUGACAUAUGUGGCAUUUUUUAACGAAUUCUAAACAAUAUCCUUCCAUCUUUGGCCAGUAGUAACCAUGAUCAAUAAGCUAUUUGUAUACCUUGGCUCCCCCUUGGUACUCGUCCUUGUGCAUAUGGUAAACCAAAUCUUUGGCUUCGCCAAGUUCCAGACACCGUAAGGGCUUGCCAUUGAACCCUCUUCUGAACAAUUCUUCAUUUUGUAAUUAAGAAUCGUUGUGACUUCCUCUUUAUUAUAAUUGCGUCCUUCUUUUCGGUCGAAAGAUUCCCGCUUUGUAAGAACUCCAAAUAAGGGAUUCGCCAAUCCACUAUGUCAUCAAUGAAGGCGCAUUCCUCCUCCCCAAGGUAUUCUUGGCAUGAAACACAUUUGCGUUGUAGGGCAUCUGCUUCCUUCUUCAUUUCAGGCAAUUAAUACCCUUGUCGUUGCAGCCUAUGCUACAGGCCUAUGUCUGCCAAUCCGCAGUUCUCAUCAUGCACCUGAUGCAAGACUCUAUUUGCUUCCCGCCUCCCCAAGCAUCGUGUCAAUAUACCGUCUACUUCUUUGUGAUACAAGACACCUUUGAUGAUGUUGUACUUCUGUAGCUCCAUGAUUGGUAUUGUUCCCUCCUUUGUUUGCAAUUGAUGGGAGAUGUCAUGUCUCCAAUCAUCUAUUAUGUCUUUGGGGAACAAGUCAAGCACCGUGGUUGGGAGGGUUCUCUUCAUUACCUUCACAUCCAAGUCCUCUCCUUGGACAUAGACUCGAGACGCUACUGUUGUUAGUACAUCAGGUUGUUUAUUUUGUCCUCUUGGCACAUAUUCAAUCACCACCUUCUUGAAAGCCUCCAUCUCCUUUUGUGCUACAGUUCGAUAUGGAGCCAAGAUAGGUUCCUUCACUCUGAAUUGGCCUCUUAUCUGCCGGACUAUGAAGUUUGAAUCUCCCUUUACUUUAAGAUGUUUGGCUCCCAAUUCUUGAGCCGCCAACAAUCCUAGUAUGAACGCCUCAUAUUUUACUUUAUUGUUUGUGCAAGGGAAAUUCAAUAUGUAUGACAAGGCCACUUCAUUUCCUUCUUUGGUGGUCAACACCACUCCUGCUCCGCCUUUACCUUUUCCAGAUGAUCCAUCAAAAGCCAAACUCCACCAUUCUAGGUCAUCAUCCAUUAACUCGAUUGAUUCUACUACUCCACCCUGAAGAUCUUCAGAAGGGGGUUUAUAUUCUCCAUUUGGAAAUUGAACCAGCAGGUCUGCCAAGGCUUGAUAUCGGAUCGCCUUCGGUGUUACACACUUGAUGUCGUACUCUGAAAGAAUCAUCAUCCAUCUGGCAGGUCUUCCUGCAAAUGCUGGCUUAGUUAAUAAUAAUCUGAUGGGAUCAGUUCUUGUUCCAAGCUUUACUUUGUGCGCUAAAAAAUAAUUAAUGCUGCAUUUUUUGCGCAAUGAACACCAAUGCUAGGCAAUGCCUCUCCACCUGUGAAUACCUGAUUUUCGGUCCUCUGAUUAUCCGGCUAAUAUAAUACAUAGGUUUCUCUUCUCCAUCCACCUCCUGCAUGAUCAAUGUUCCACAUGUGGAAUUCUUGGUAGAUGUGAUGUAUAACUGCAACGUCGUUCAUUUUUGUGGUACUACCAUAGUUUGCGUUGAAGCCAAAAUUCUUUUCACCUUUUCAAAGGCCUGUUGUUGGUCUUGCCCCCAGUCCCAUUGUGCCUUUCCUUUUAGCAAUUUGCCGAAAGGUUCUGUGACUUCGGCUAAUGCUGGCAUGAAUCUUCUCAUGUAUGAAACUUUCCCUAGAAAGCUCUUCAACUGUUUCUGCAUUUUUUGUGGGGGGGGGUGGAUCUCUGUGAUUGCUUUCGCCUUGCUUGGGUCCACCUCUAAACCUCUGUUGUGCACCAAGAAACCCAAGAAUUUUCCAGCCGUCAUCCCAAAGGCACACUUCUUUGGAUUCAUCCUCAACUUGUACCUUCGGCAUCACUCAAACACUUUCCUCAGGUCUUCUACAUGAGUUGUUGCCUUCUUGGAUUUCACUACUAUGUCAUCCACGUAGUCCUCCACUAUAUCAUGAAUCAUGUGAUGAAAUAUGGCGUGCAUUGCCCUUUGAUAAGGUUGCCACCGCAUUCUUCAACCCGAAUGGCAUUACUACAUAGUAGAAAUUCCCAAAUGGGGUACGAAAGGUUGUCAACUCUGCAUCUUCUACGGACAUAUUUAUCUGAUUGUAACCCACAAACCCGUCCAUGAAUGACAUCAUCUCAUGAUUAGCCGUUGCAUCUACCAAAGUGUCUAUGUUAGGUAAUGGGUACAUAUCCUUCGGGCAUGCCUUGUUCAAGUCUCUGAAAUCCACACAUAUUCGUAGUUGUCCAUUUGAUUUCUUUACCGGUACAAUGCUGGAUAGCCAUGUUGGAUGUUGAAUUAGCUUGAUGAACCCUACUUCCAGUAACUUCUUGAUCUCUUCCAUUAUUUGAGUUUCGACUUCAGGUGCAUAGUUGCGAGGUGCUUGCUUCACUGGCUUCAUUCCCGGGCUUAUGUUUAGAUUGUGAUCCACAAGAUCCUUGUCAAUUCUGGGCAUCUCGUCAUAAUUCUAAGCAAAGACAUCUCUAUACUCUCGCAAUAAUUAUACAAGCUCCUCCUUCUGGUUAGCAUCCAGUUCCUUGUUGACAUAAGUCGGUCUUGGCAUUCCUCCCUUUGUUGCCAAAUCAACUUCCUCUAAUUCAUUUUGUUGAGGUUUUGGCCUAUCCUCGAAGCAUUCUGGAGCUGGUUCUACCUUCUGCUGUACAACUUCUCCUCAUUCAUUAUUGCUGGAGUGGGGGACACCUCCAGAGCCAUUGGGUUCGUACGCUUCCUUGGGCUCUUCCCCCUUGCACCGUCAUAAUUGAAACACCACCUUUCCGUCAGGUUUAACAACCCUAUCCCAUUUUGUCUUCUGGCCAUCCUCAGAUUGUGCCAUCCGCUUAACAUUUAUUAUAUUUCUGGCAUCUUCAGGGUCUGCUGGCCUUUUUUUUUCUUCUCUUCCUUCUUUCUCCAGGUCUACUACCACUAGCUUCUUAUUUUUGGAACAUUCUCCGUGUUCCGAGGUCUUCUUAUUCUCUUUUUCUGCAGGCACGAACCUAUCUUCCUGCACUUCCUCCCAGCUUGCUAGUCUCAGAGAAUCGGGACUUGCAAUUUGGUUCUCUCCCUCUUCAGCGACAUCAUCAAAGAAAGUUGCUUCGGUGAUGUGUGCCUCCUCUGGUCCAAAGGGAUUUUGAGUUGCUGGUACCUUCACUUCUCUCCCUUUUUAGAUAGCUUUCAGGCACUGAUGAAAGACCGAGGGUUCCAUCCCGUAGUCAUUUUGCCAAGCCCUUCCUAGCAAGAUAUGAUAUGUUGCAUCCACCUCUACAACAUGGAACAUUACAGGCCCUCGAAUCUUCCCAACUUGCAUGUCCACCUUGAUAUGUCCUAGGGUUCUUGUGCUUUGGUUGGCGAAUCCUAUAAUGUUUGCUUGUUCCUUCAUAAUCUUCUUCUCAGGUAGGCCUAACCGUUUGAACACAGUGUAGGGCAUAAUAUUUACAAAUGCUCCAUUGUCAAUGAACGCCCUCCACACUUCUAUGCCAUUAAUUACUGCUGUCACAUACAAUGGCCUGUUGUGCGGGUAUCUUAUCUCUCUAUCAGCUGUAAAGAAAGAUAUCUUAUUUUUUUCUUCCUCCAUCGUCUUCACAAAUCCUUUGCUUAUGGCCAUGCAAGUCUCCUGUGUCUCGGCAGCCUUAAUGAUUUCUCUGGUUGCCUCAAUCCUUGCUUCCUUGGCCAAUCCUAUCUGAUCGAAUUUUUUUUAAACUUGGCCCCAUUCAUCAACACCGUCACCUGCAGGCCUGGAUCACACUCUUCUCUUUCUUCCAUCAUCAUCUCCACUUCUGGGAUUGUACUGUGGAUAACAGUGUUGCAUGUUUCUUUCCCCUUGUGGUUUGGCAGUGGCUUGUCAUGGACACUUCUUUCCUUUUCCAGUUCAAUUUCCCCAUUUGCCAAAUUUUCAUGGUAUAUCCUCCUUAGGCUGUAACAGUCCAUAGUGGAAUGUCCAGCGUAUUGGUGGCAUACACAGAAGUCAGGUUUUCUCUUCAUCUCUUUCGUCACUACAAAUCUAGGCCUUGGGGGUUUCACCACCCCAUGUUCAACCCAUUGUUCAUAUAGACCCCUGAAUGCUUUCUCAUUGCAUGUGAUAGCCUCCGGGAUUGACUUUCUUGCAUAUUUGUCUCCAGGCCUUCCCCUGCUUCGGUCAAAAUUCUUCUCAUGCUUCUCCCUCUUGCCCCCUUUUGGUUUUGACUGAGAGUCAGCCAAAGCCACAGUUGUUGUCCUCUUGCCCUUUCAUGUAAUCGUCGCAUGGCUAGUGGGUAAUGUCAUGAUUUCUCCCAAGUCUUGUGCAAAAGAUGAGAGGGUCACGAAGGAAUCACAAGCCUUGGUGAUGAGGUGGGGAUUGAAGGCAUCUAAGGCACCAUUGUUGCAAAUGCUGACUAAGUUCUUUUCUUCAAUCGGCUUUGCGCACUUCUGUGCCCGGGCCCUGAACCUGUCAACAUAAUCUGAUAGCUCCUCAUUCGGCUUUUGCUUGAACCUCAUGAGCUCUACAAUAGUCACUUAUUUUUGCACAUAAAAAAAUUUCUUAAAAAAUUGUACUUUUGGGUCAUCCCAAUCAUGGACUGAUCCCUUCUCCAAAUUGUAGUACCAACUGAAGGCACUAUCCGUCAAAGUCUUGUUGAAUUCCUGCAUCAACAAGUUGUGGUUGUUCACUUCAUCAUAUCCGAGCCACGGAGACAUUGACUCUACGAACCUGACAAUAUGUUCUCUGGCAUUUCCUUUCUCCCCGUUGUAUUUUGGAAACUGCGGAGGAUGCUCAAUAUACCCUGUCGGGUAAGGUUGCCUCCGAAUGUGUGUCGGGUAAGGAGUAGUAUAGUCUAACUCCGAGGGUCGAGAUGUCUGCCUGCGAAGUUGAUUGAUCACAUCGAUCAUAUCAUCUUUCGUCACGUACUGGCUCGUGGCGUGAAUUAACUCUUUGGGGUUUUGUGAUAUACUGUUGUAACAGCGAUGUGUAUGGUAAAGAGAUUGGUUGAUGCAUACUUGCAUCAUUCAAAGCAGGCGCUAGUGGUAGCUGCUGGCUCACUCGCUGGACAUGGCCUGGAAUGGUCGGCAUCUGCACGUGUGAAAAUGUUGGGAGAGCAGUUGGGAUGAUGUUUGUCUGAGGUUGGCUUGCUUCCAACCUAGGUUGUGUUACAUCACCACUGCUCUGAGGCUCCAAGUUGAUGAUUAGAACCGACUGACUUUCCGUCGAUGGAGGUACAAUUUGGUUCUCUUUAUUGUUGUUGCCAUUGUUAUUGUCCUCUACCCCUGCUUCUUCUCCCUACGAAUUGCCUGAGAACAUGGCCUUGAAGGUAAGAAUCUGCAUCAAUUGCUGGCGAAAGUUCCCCAUCUCCUCUUGCUUCCUCUGCAUCUCCAGCAUCAUGGCCAUCAUCAUCCCUGUUCUUCCCGUGCUUCCUUUAAUGCCUUGAGCAUCUCCAAUUGCACAACACUGAUCAACUCUCCACUUGCAUCCUCGCCUUGCCUUCCUGCAUUUAUUUGUUGUUGAUUGGCCAUAUGUGGUGAUAUUGAACUCCUUUCUGAAGCGUCUUCAAUAAGGGGUUGGUUAAAAUUCAAGUUUGCACCUUGGAAAGCUUGAGUGGCUUGCCUUGGAACUGGAUCCGGUGAGGUAAUGCUAUUUGUUGGUGAAACAACUCUUCCUGUAGUUCUCCCACUUCGAGUUGUGGGCAUACCCUUCACGAAUUCUACACCUCCCCAGCAGAGUCGCCAAAGAAAUGUGUGCAAAGAAAUCGUGCCUUGCUAGUUAGGGUUUCGUGUUGGCUGAGGAGGAGAGAAAUCCACGAAGAGUACGGAAUUGGUUGAUUGAUUGAAGAGGGGAGAAUGACAAGUGGGUGAUUACUCCAAUGACGCGUGACAGAACUCCUAGAAUCCGAGAACCGUAUUAGGGUUAUUGGGAUUCCAAGAGCCUUCUUGAGUGUCCUUCAAGUUGAGAGAAAGUGUCUAAACCCUUUUAGUACUUUUAGGUGGAAUAUCCAAGCCUUAAGUCACCAAAAGAGUUCAAGUCUUGUGUUUGAAGAGAGGUCCCUUUCUCAAUGGAAUGGAAGGGGUACUUAUAGGAUUUUCUGGAAAGUAGUCAUGUGCAAGGCACAUGAUUUAAGGGAAGUGGAGGUUUCUCCUGGGUCUAACGCAUUUUAUUUCUGACUUUUUUCGUCUUCAUUCCAUUAGGUUAUGCGAAUUCUAAUUUGCACAUUUAAUGAGGUUUUGAAACCCUAAUUGCUCAUUUAAUUUAAUUAGGUUAUGUGAACUCUAAUUUUACACUUGGGCCCACAAAAAUUUGUUAAGCAAAUUUGUUCGCUUUUGUAUUUUAUUUCAAAUUUUUAGAUAAGGCAGAAGGAUCAAAAGGGUCCAAAAGAUACAGAUAAAAGAAAAAGAAACAGAUGUUAGGAAGAAUGAAUAAUAUGUUGAUGUAAUAGAUUAUGAUGUUGUAUUAAUUUUUUGUAAUAAUAUAAGAUAAAUUGUGAUAUUAUCAAGUAUUAAAUUGCGUAAAGAGCCGAGAUGUGGAAAUAUGUAAUUUCAUUUACGUGAAAUCUGUUGCAAGUAAUCCUAAUUUAUAUUAUAGGCAAAUGUUGUAUAUGUGAGGUUAAAACCUGUAGAAGAAUGAAUGGAUGUUUCUAUUAUUAUUUUUUAUGAGACACAUGUGGAAUAAAUGAAGAAUGUAUACAAUAUUAAGCAGGUGAUAUAUGUAUAUGAAUAGUGAUGCACCAAAUCAACUGUAGAAAGUAUAGGGGUUUAGGAACAGAACCGGAUAAGGCAAUUCUACUCGAUCAAUUACGCCAAAUAUAUUCAUCAGUAUAUUAAUUAAAAUUAAAUAAAAUUAUUUUAAAUUUGAGUAAAAAAAUGUCUCAAUUUAAUUUAAAAAUUAAAUAAUGAUAUUAUAUUUUAAAAGUGAAUGAUAUAAUAUUUAAAAUUUUGAGUCAUUUUGGUUGUGGAAGGGAGGAAGGUAAUGUAAGUAAUCUAACUUAAGAGUAUCAUUAAGAUAUCUAAGCUGAAGUAUGCAUUCUUUUAGUUAUAUAUAUUAAAAAGAAAGUCACUAUAGGAGCAACUUUUGUUGCAGGAAACAAUACAUUAAGUAACAAUGUUCUUUUCUGUCAGUGGAGAAGUUAGGAUUUUAAUUUAUUAGGGUCAAAAUUUUGUGAUGUUAUAAAUGAUUUAAUUUUAUAUUUUUUUAUCAGUUUUAUAUAUAAAAUAUGUAUUUUGUUAUAAUUAAUAUUUUUAAUAUAAUAAAUAAUAACAUUAUAUAUAUAUACACCCCUUAUUGACCCUUAAUACGUCUUUCUAAUAAUAAAUUUAUUAAUAAAUAUUUAAAUUUCUUAUGUUAUAAAAAUAAUAUAAAUUAAAUUAAUAUUUAUUUUAAAAAUAUUAGAGGAAGAAGCAUACAUCAAGGAGUAGAAAUAGUAUAGAAUUGAGAAAGUUAUAAAAAAUUCUAUUUGACCCCGUAUAUUAAAAAAUUUAUAAAAUUUCAAUGAGGUCAAUUUAUUCAUUAUAAUUAAAUAUCUUCUAAAUUUAUCAUAUAUUAUAAAAUAAAUUUUUUUUCCAAUGAAAUCAAUUGACCCCACCCCUUGACUGUGGCUUCGCCCCUGUUUUCAGUCAUGUUUCAUAGAUUGCGAAAAAUAUAUUUUCCUUUUUUUUAGUGACCACUGAUUUGCGACAAUACUUGAAAACAAAAUUGUGAUGAGAUCCUUUUUUUUUGUUAUAUUUUUUGUCUGAAAUCCCUUUGAAGUGUCCCUUUUAAAUGUUUUCUGGUACGAUCGGAAUGGUUAUGCAUGCAUGGUUGAUAUUUUUAUAUGAUUUUUUGAUAUUUUUAUAUGAAAAGUGUAGCUAUAGAGAUGUAUAGCGACGGCAAAAACCGCUGUUAAAGAAUUUAUAGCGACGAUUUUCAUGUGAAAAUAUUAAUUUUCUAUUUAGAAUUUCACCUUUACAAUAGAUAAAGGGAACUGAUAUUUUCAUAUAAAAAAUUGAUAUUUUCACAUAAUUCCUCUCACAUGAAUAGUGAGUGAGUCCCACAUCCAUAUUGUGAGAGAGACUCGUUUAAAAAUAUCAUUUUAACAUGUAAAAAUAUCAAUUUCCUAGAUAAACUAUGCCGUCAAACUACAUAAAAUUAAAUUCUUAUCAAAAAUAAAAACAAAAGAAAAUACUUGGAUUUUUUUUUGCAGAUCAAAGUAGUUUUUUACUAUAAUUAUUCAUACACAACAAGGCCAGAGUGCCAUAAACUUUUGCUACAUGGACAUUAUUCAAGAUACUAAAGGUUAGCCUCAUAGUAAUAAUUAGCCAACCCUAGCACUCAUAACUAUUUUACAUAGAUAAUACUCCCAAAAGCAUUAAUUAAACAAGACAGUAGUCCAUUUUGUAGCCGUACCAUUUGUGCUAUAUUAUAGAAUUGGUCCUCGGAUCCGCAAUUUUCAUUUUAGAAGGUAGUGUUACGAAUUUGAGGCGGUAGUCAUCAGUAGCGUCAUCGGUAGGGCAAUCUACGAACCUUGUUGCUUGUUGGUUCAUGCAUACAUUAAUAUCCGUAAGCACAUAUUCUGAGUUUUCGUUUUUGGUGAAAUCGAUUUCUGGCACAGCAUUCAAGUGCUUUUUGAUUGCUUCUUUUAUCAUUUUAGGACGAUAAAGGUCGUUAUUCGGGUGAAUCCCUACACAUUUUUGAAUAGUAAUCUCAUCAAACUCACAUUAUCAUUUUACUUAGGAAGCAAUGAACCAAAUUAAAGACUAUUUAAUUAUAUAUGAAUGGGUAUGUUUACCUUCCUGGUUUAGUAGCCCAAUUAUAUCAAAUGCUUUUCUAAAAGCAAGCGCCGUUCUAAAAUAAUCAGUCUGCUUCAACAAUGCUUCUGAACACCUUCCAUGUUUCUUCCACUCGUAUUCCCAGAAUUGUACGUCCUCGGUGUUAGUUUCAUGACUCGGCCAUGCAAGAUGCAUUUCUGCUCGAAAGUCCGAUACCUUUAAUUUUCAAAAUGAAGGAGGAGAGAUAUUAGUUUAACAUAUGUGAGUAUGUAUGGAUAUAUUGCAUGUACACUUUCAAUUUUUUAUCAAACAAACUUAUGACUUAUCCAACUCUUCAAGAUAUAUAUAAAUGUUACCACAAAAAAAAAACAUAUUUAAUAGACAAUAGAGCAAGAAUUUUAAGUAGUAAAUUAAAUGCAGACCGAGAGAACUCACAGAGUUAACAUCAAAGGCAGUUCCGUCACAAUAUAACCCUGGGGUCCCCUUCUCGUUAUAGGGAUAAAGGCCGUGAAUGGUAAAUGUGUUGAGGAGAGACUUUGUAUCACAGGCAUUGUUGACCUCGCAAAAUCCAGCUGGCCAUUGAAGCCUUAGGGCAAACAUUGCCAAUGGAUAAUCUGAUCGAGCAUUCCCACCCCAAGAGAAAAUGCUCAAGCUCACUAUAAUGAUGCUGAUAAUAUAUAUUGCCCUCAUGAUCUCUUCAAACUUCAACAACUUUUUUCUUAAGAAAUGAAGUGUGUGUUUUCUGUGAUCUCUAGACUUCCAUGCAUACCCUUUUAUAGUCACCAGUUCUUUUUUAAUUAUAAUAAGAAAAAACUUAUAAAAUAUUUUUAUUUAUAUUUUUGAGUGUUAAUUUAUCCGUAA